rfam:Mycobacterium arupense strain GTC1 Marup_contig000007_(modified), whole genome shotgun sequence.
CGAGUUGGCCGGGCGGCCGCGGCUCGCUGUCAAGCGGGUCGAGGAAAGUCCGGACUUCACAGAGCAGGGUGAUUGCUAACAGCAAUCCGAGGUGACUCGCGGGACAGUGCCACAGAAAACAGACCGCCACCGCAAGGUGGUAAGGGUGAAACGGUGCGGUAAGAGCGCACCAGCGUUCCGGGUGACCGGGACGGCUUGGUAAACCCCACCCGAAGCAAGGCCAAGAAGGCCGCAUUCCGGUGCGGCUGCGCAGGUGUUUGAGGGCUGCUCGCCCGAAUCUGCGGGUAGGCCGCUUGAGGUACCCGGCAACGGUGUGCCCAGAUGGAUGGUCGCCGCCGCACCGCGUCAGUGGUGCGGGACAGAAUCCGGCUUACAGGCCAACUCGUCCG